rfam:Lupinus angustifolius cultivar Tanjil chromosome LG01, whole genome shotgun sequence.
ACAUGCAUUACAGGGCAAGAUCUCUAUUGGCAGUUUUUCACUAUGAUAUAUGCAUGCAUAUCUCAGCCAUGCAUAGAAAUAAUUAAUUUUAGUGUAUAACCUGCCAAAGGAGAUUUGCCCAGCGAUUCUCAU